ACAGCAGUAGCCGCGGUAAUACGGAGGGUGCAAGCGUUAAUCGGAAUUACUGGGCGUAAAGCGCACGCAGGCGGUCUGACAAGUCAGAUGUGAAAUCCCCGGGCUUAACUUAGGAAUUGCAUUCGAUACUGGGAAGCUAGAGUAUGGGAGAGGAUGGUAGAAUUCCAGGUGUAGCGGUGAAAUGCGUAGAGAUCUGGAGGAAUACCGAUGGCGAAGGCAGCCAUCUGGCCUAAUACUGACGCUGAGGUACGAAAGCAUGGGGAGCAAACAGGAUUAGAGACCCCUGUAGUCCCUGUCUCUUAUAC
rnacentral:rRNA from 1 species